GGUGGAUAGCUAGGUUUAGGAAAGCGAUGAAGGGCGUGGCAAGCUACGAUAUUGCCUUGGCGAGGCGCAUGCAGCCUUAGAACCAAGGAUUCCCGAAUGAGACAUCUUAUCUUUUUAAGAUGAUUAGUAAUAAUCGCUAACGCAGGGGACUGAAACGUCUUAGUACCUGCAGGAAAAGAAAUUAAUCAAGAUGCCGUUAGUAACAGCGAGUGAAACCGGCAGAAGGCAAACUGAAUCCUUUAUAGAAAUGUAGAGGAGAUGUGGUGUUGUAAGAGCUGUCAUAAGCGUCUUAAUUAUCUGAGUCGAAGUUUUCUGGAAAGUUGCGCUAUAGAGGGUGAUAGCCCCGUAGACAAAAGAUAGAAAGAUGUGACAGAUUUCUUGAGUAAGGCCUAUCGGAUAUUAGGUCUGAAUUUGGGAGGCAUCAACUUCCAACUUUAAAUAUUUCCUAAGACCAAUAGUGUACGAGUACCGUGAGGGAAAGCUGAAAAGAACCCAUGACAGGGUGUGAAAAGAUCUUGAAACCUAAUGGUUAUAGUAAGGUACGGCUCUUUGGAGUUGUACUGUACGUUUCGAAUAACGGGCCAGGGAGUUUAUUUAAGUGGCGAGAGUAAAUCUCUUUACGAGAAAUAUUCACAAGGAAACUAAAAGCUCGCAGUUUACGAGGAGCAUGGUAUGAAAAUGCCAUAAGUCACUUGGAUAUGACCCGAAACCGCUCGAUCUAACCUAGGAUAGGGUGAAGCAGCAGUAAUGUUGUGGAGGCCCGCAGAGGUUCUGUGUGCAAGCGUUCUUCUAAUUUUAGGUUAGGGGUGAAAAGCCAAUCGAGAGCGGUGAUAGCUGGUUCCUACCGAAGUUGGCCGCAGUCAAGCCUUAAGGGAGAUUGCUAAGACGGUAAAGCGACGGAUUAGAGAUUUAGGGAGGUAAAACUCUCGGUUUCUUGUCCAACUCAAAAUGUUUUAGCAUCUAAGAACUUAGGAGACGGCAGCAGGCGGUAAACGACUGUUGCGAGAGGGGAACAUCCCAGACUAAAAUUAAGGUCCCUAAAUACUGAUUAAGUGUUAAMGGGURAAAGGUGUGUMUUACCAUAGACAGCAGGGAGGUAUGCUUAGAAGCAGCAAUCCUUUAAAGAAAGCGUAAUAGCUCACCUGUCUAGGUAAGAUGCCCUGAAAAUGGACGGGGCUAAAUCAGUUACCGAUAUUUUAGACUUAAGCAAAUGCUUAAUGUGGUAGGUAGGUAUAUUGUUGGGGCAGAAGUCUUUCUGUAAAGAUGGAUCGACCUGACAAUAACAAGAAUCCUGGCGGAAGUAGGAUCUAAAUAGCGUGAGAACCGCUAAUACCGAAAGGGCAAGGGUUUCUUAGCACUAUCUUUUAGCUAAGAGUAAGUCGGUCCUAACUAAGUUCAUAACAUGACACUUGGGAAAGGGCAAAGGGUUAAUAUUCCCUUACUACUUGAGUACUUAUGGCAACAGAAGUUUAGUCUCUGACGCUUCUGGCUAGGUUGACAUCUUUAACUAUGGAUGCUAACUAAGACAAAUCAGGGGAGUGUUGUAAUAAUGAGAACCUGAUUAAACUUAGGAAUGGCUAGCUUAUGGCUAGUUCAGCUGAUGCCUGGAGCCAGUGAAAAAGGGACUAAAAUGGAUCUCAAGUAACCAUACCCAGAACCAACACUGGUGCCCCUAGGUGAGAAGCCUAAGGUAUGUGGGAGUAAUCUAACUAAGGGAACUCGACAAAUUGGUCCUGUAUCUUCGGUACAAGGGAUCCCUGCGAUUGUCUCGCAAGAGGCGAUUACAGGGUGCAAUAACCGGGGAGGUCCGACUGUUUAACAAAAACAUAGCUUCUCGCAAGCCUGUAAAGGUGAGUAUGGGAGGCCACGUCUGCCCAGUGCUAGUACCUCAAACUUCUUUUCAAGGGAGCUAAGGGCUAGUAAACGGCGGGAAUAACUAUAAUUCUCUUAAGGUAGCGAAAUGCCUUGUCGUUUGAAUGACGACCUGCAUGAAWGGCGUAACGAGAUCUCCAUUGUCCCUAGUUAGAAUCCCCUGAACACACUAUUCAGGUGCAAAGGCCUGAGGCUUCCAGUGGGAAGCAAAGACCCCGUGGAACUUUACUACAACUUGUUGCUGUGAUAUGGAUGCUAAUGUGUAGUGUAGGUGGAAGUCGUUGAGGCUCAGUCGCUAGAUUGAGUUUAGACAACAAUGAAACACCACCCUAUAGUUUCUAUACCACUUACUCUGAAUAAGAGGACACCAUUAGGUGGGUAGUUUGGCUGGGGCGGCACCCUGCUGAAAGGAUAUCAGUAGGGCCCAAAGGUCAGCUCAUCUCGGUUAGAAAUCGAGAGUAGAAUGCAAGAGUAAAAGCUGGCUUAACUGUGUUCCUAACACUAUGGAACGCAGGAACGAAAGUUGGGUCUAGCGAACCCUUAUGUCCUCCUUGAUGGGGGCUAAGUAUGACAGAAAAGCUAUCCCGGGGAUAACAGAGUYGUCGCGCCUAAGAGCUCAAAUCGACGGCGCGGUUUGCUACAUCGAUGUCGGCUCKUCGCAWCCUGGCUGUGCAGAAGCAGCCAAGGGUGGRGGUGUUCACYCAUUAAAGCGGCUCGUGAGCUGGGUUCAGAACGUCAACAAUGGCGUUGCAUAAGAGCAAUCUUAUGAAAAAUUAAAUUGGCUCAUAUCGGUGAAACCUUAACUUUUUAAACUGUAAAAGUUAUGGUAAUACCGAGGGAAGGUGUGGCUUAUGGAUUCAACAAGAAUUGCUUAUAUUGCUGGAUUCCUUGAUGGUGAUGGAAGUAUAUUCUUCCAGAUUGUAAAAAGAAAAGAUUACAGGAUUGGUUUUCAAAUAAGAAGCACAAUUGCUUUUUAUCAAAAAAACUAAACACGUUAAAAUCUUAAAAUUCCUAAAAAGAAUUUUUAAAUCUGGUUAUAUACGUCAUCGUGAGAAAGGAAUGAGCGACUAUAGUAUUGUUGAUUCAAAAGAAGUAGAAAAAUUACUUAGACUUUUACGACCUUAUGUUGUGGUUAAAAAGAAACAACUUGAACUUGGAUUAAAUAUCCUGCAAAGACUUAAGACAUGCAAAUCAAAUAAAGAGUUUUUAGAGAUUUGUAAAUUUGUUGACAAGUUUAGCAAGUUAAAUUAUUCCAAGAAAAGAACCAUAACAUCUAACAUUGUAAAAGAUUACUUCAUUAAAAAUAAGUCAUUACCCCUGUAGAGACUAAAGCGAAAGCUGAGAGUCUUACUUUAUGUAAGGCUAAUACGCCAGUCUCCUAUUUGGCAAGAAUAGGAUGAAGGUAUAGUCCAUGCCGUAUGGAAACAUAUGGAUUAACAUGCGUGAGACAGUUUGUUCGAUAUCUGCUGGAAGUGUCGAUGUCUGAGGGGAAGGAUCAUUUAGUACGAGAGGAACGAUGGUUCGAGGCCUCUGGUAAAUCUGUUGUCUAGUAAGGCAGGCAGAGCAGCUACGCCUUCGGAGAUAAAUCCUGAAUGCAUCUAAGGAUGAAACUCUCCUCGAAAAUAGACAUCAUCGAGCAGCUCUAGAAGAGAGCGUUGAUAGG
rnacentral:rRNA from 1 species